UACCAGUUCAUUAAUUCCUGCUUUUGUCAGUUCUGUUUCGUUUUCCUCACUGCUACUUUUCUCCUUGUUUCUGUGCCCUCGCUGGUUGUGCCCCGUCAGCAUCUCCCCCUGCAGGAUGCCCCGCCCAUGUAGAUCAGUGCCCGCCGCCUCGCCGAGGCCGCACACCCUCUCACUGUGGCUGGUUACUGCCGGCCGCAUGUGCGGGUGGUCUCCCCCCUGCUGCGCCGUCCGCCUGAGAGCUUUUACUGCUCUCCUCGAGCGGCUGUGGCUCCCCUGCGGCCGCAGUGCCCGGCGGCCGGUGCGGCAGUAGAGCCGAGCGCGCCGGUGCCGGAGCUCUGUCCUCCCUGCCUCUCCCCAUGGUGGUGACCGCAUCAGGUGACCUAGUUGGCGGGUCCCGCGGUGCCGCUGCAUGCCGCGUCCAGCCAGUGCUCUCCCCAGCCAGCUCCCCUGCGGGUGCCUGGCUCCUGGAGGUCAUCCCUUCUCUCUCCGUGGUUGCAGGUGCAGUGAGGGGGCGGAGCCUGGGCUUACCAUUACCUCUGAUGGCGUUGCCAGUACCCUGCUUCCCUCCGCUGUGCAUCCGGUUUCCGCCACGCAUAUGCCAUUGCAGACGCCGGCAAUUGGUGCGGACGGUCAGGCAUUUGGGAUCCAUCCGGGUGCGCUCCCGGUGUCACAGAUCCUGCUGCCACCAGCCGGCGGCCAAUGGCAGAGAGCGGAUGUGCCACCUGCUGGACAGCUCGGUAUAAUGCAGGUGGUGUCCGCUCACAGUGCCCUGUCCGCUUCAUUUGCGGUACCGGGCGACGCGACGCGAGCGGCUCCCUCGGGUUCCUGCCAGCUCCUGCUGUGUCGAUGGCCUGGUCAGGGGCACUACAAUUUCCCAUCAUGACCUCAGCGGUGUCGCCUAGUUUACACAGUGUGCGGGCCCCUCUUCUUCCCCUUAUUUGCCGGCAAUGUUUAUGCACGCGCAUGGCUCUGUAACAUCGUGGCCCGUCCCUGCGGGCCCGGGGUUGGCCCCCUUUUCAGGGUCUUACGCCGGGGGAAUUUUCACACGAGGCCCUCCCGCAGACACCAUAUUGGUCGGCGCCUUUCAUGCAGGCUCCGUACGCAUGGCACCCGGGUUUCACCGCUCCAGCUCCCUGGCCUCCCUCCUUUGGUAUGGCCGUUAGCGCAGCGAAUGCGGAGCUGGUGGCCACGCCGAUCCCCUUUUCCCAGCUUCCCCUUUCUUUCCCCCCUCCCUUGCCUUCUAUCCCGCCUGCCGCCGGGUUUGUCCCCCCCUUCUGGCUCCCCAUUACGUGUUGACGUGUCGAGGGAGGUCUCUCCUCCCGGUGGGUCAUCCGUGACCAUGGCAGUGUCGGGUCCUGUUGCAGUGCAGAGGAGGGCAUUGACGCAGCAGAGUGGGCCUUCGGGAACAGGCGAAGCUGGGGGAUCUCGGGUCCCUGAAGAGGAGCUGUCUGCGUCCGAAGAGGUGGGAGGUCCUUCUGGAACUGAGAGAUGGCAGCUGAUCUCAAGCAACAAGACAAAGUGGCACUGAUUGACUUAUGAACAGCUGGAAGUUUAGCUAAAGCAUGAGAUCCAUCAACACUACAGUGGUGCCUGUAUGAUUUAUCCGGAGCAGACUUCUGCAUUGAAAGCCUCAUUACUGCACGCUAAAUGAAAUAAAUGGCUUUUAAAUAUUUUAACAAAAUGUUGACCGUAAUACUAGCAUGUGGCCAUUAGAUAUGCUGUCUCAGCUAGUAAUAAUCCUCACCCACAUGUGGUCCCUAUUGAUUAACAUAGCCGGUGUGACAUUUGCCUCUGUGUGCUCAAUAAACAGCCUGUAAUAUGUCAUAAUUCACAGCUUAAAAGAAAAGAAAGCUGACAGUGAAAUCCAGGAGCGUUAUACUCCAUGUAAAAAAAUAAAUAUUAAUUGCAUAAUUUAUGCCAUUUUCUCAAGUGCCACACUGAAUACAGUGCCAGAUUCUUGCAUCUUCAUCACAGCAGGUGUACAUGGUUGAAGAGGGUAUCUAAUUUGUGUGAUAUUGGGUUGCCUCUGAGGCUGAAUAAGAGGAUGCUGUCAUCUACAGUAUAAUGGAGCUAUAACCAUUAAGGGUCACUUACAAACUUAGAAAAAUACAUAGACCCUCACUGAUUUUUUUUGUUUAACAAACCCCUCAAAGGUGCACACACACUGAGGGGUGCCGAGAGGGGCAGGGGAGUGGGUACUAAUUAUCCCAGCCUGGCAUUGUCAUAGCGGGCAAGCUAUCUGUGGAGGAUGAGAAAUGUCCCCCUCUGCAGCAUACAAUGCUACUUGCGCAUAGCAUUUUUCUGUAUUCUUUUCUGGAAGGGUGUGAAUAUGCCUCCCAGAAUUUGUCCAGGCCUGCAUUUUGUCUUUGCGAUCCUGCACAAACCUGUUUAAUUGAACUUCUGUGCAAAAAAGGUGUGCACCUAAAUUUGCAGAAUGCCAACACUAUGGUUAGGCUGCAGGACAGGAGGGUUAGGCCAAAGGCAUAGCUACCAUAGGUGCAGGGAGUGCAGCUGCUAUGGGGCCCAGAGCUGAGAGGGGCCCACGUUCCCUGUCACAGUUACAUGUGUUAUAUUAAAAAAAAAAUGUUUACCGUUGGUAGAUACAUAGGAGCCCUUAUAAACUUUUGCCUUGGGGUCUGCAUGUAUAAUGUUACAUAAAAUGAAGUGGGACAUUGUAACAUGGCACAAUAUGAGGCGGAGUCACUAUAUUGUAGCAUAAUAUGAACUGGAGGCAGGAUAGUGUGGCAUAACAUGAACUUGGGGCACUAUGGUGUGACAAAAUAUGAGCUCGGGACACUAUAUGUCAUAAUAUGAACUGAUGGCACUGUAAUAUGGCAUAAUGUGACUAGGCCACUACUAUGGUUCAUAAAAUAAACUAGGGCUGUACUAUGGUUCAUAAAAUAAACUAGGGCUCUAGUAUGGUUCAUAAAAUGAACUAGGGCACUAUUAUGGGGCAUACAAUGCACAAUUACUGCAGAGAAGUGUCCCUCUAGAAGCACAGGGACAGGGGCCCCUUCAUAAUGUUGCUGUGGGGCCCACAAAGUUCUGGCUGCGCCCCUGGGUUAGGCACUGAGAGAGUAAGGUUUGGGCUGCGGGUGGGAAAGUUAGGUUAAGGCACUAAGUGGAUUAGGGUUGGGCCAUUAUUUGGGCUCUGCUACCGCUGCGCUCCGCACAUGUUACUAUUCCCAAUCGUAGUCCACGUGGAUAGUAAAGUAUGAAAAAGUUUUUAAAAAAUUAGAAAAAAUUGGAAAAACUCAUGUCGACCUUUCAUGUGGCGACCUCUGCCACAUCGACCUAGUGACCAUGUUGACCUAAUGCAUGUCCACCCAUAGUGGUUGACCCAAUGAGUGUCGACCUAAGUGUUGUUGACCUAAAGACAGGAUGCCGUUUUCUACAGGAGAGCCAUUGGUGAGGUAUACUACAGUAUACUGUGACAAACCUCGGAUAGUAGUAGAAAUGACAGAAAAUCCAGUGAAGCCAGAGUAUGCAGGAUGCUCACUUUAACCUGCUUGUUCCAUCACUGAUUCUCCUACAUCCCUGAUGAAAGUUCUGCUUCAGAGGAUUAUUUUGAUUUAAAUGCAAAACACAGGGAUAUAACCAAGUCAUCCAAAGCCUUAUCUCCCUUUCAGCUUAAAAAGGACUUUGUGAUCUCCUUGUCAACAGCAGAUAUGUCAUAGUGCAAGGUUAUUUACAAACAUUUCUGGUUCUCUGCAAGAGUACAGCAUAGCAAGAGAAACACAUACUGUAUGUAAUCCCAGAAACAUAACUUGAACUAUCGGAAUACAGUAUUAUUAUAAAACAAAUAAGCAGUUGAUGUGUAAGCUCAUAGAACUCGAAUCAAAUUCACAGGACAGACACCUAUGCAGAAUGUCAGAGGAGCAUAGUAGAGCUUAUCCCUGUGCUAACAGCAAGUGGUUUAUAGGUUGAACAAUCGGUUCCACUAUCUAACAAUAUAUUUAUUUACUGUAAACAAACAUUUUUCUUUUAUAUUACAUGAAUAAUAUUCAGUAACAUGUAUUGGUCAUUAUUUAUCUGGGAUAAGGUCAUUAGGUCGACACAGCUUAGGUCGACAGUCAUUAGGUCAACAUGUACUAGGUCGACAGGUCAAAAGGUCGACAUGAGUUUUUCACAUUUGUAAAUUUUUUGGGACUUUUUCAUACUUAAUAAUCCACGUGGACUACAAUUGGAUCGGUAACCUGUGCCGAGCGAAGCGAGGCACCUUGCCCGAAGCAUGGCGAGUGAAGCGAGCCAUGCGAGGGGACACGGUGCAGUAAUUGGGGUUUCCCGUCACUUUAUGAAUUAAACGAUGCCAAAAACAGUAAAAAAAAACAUGUCGACCUUUUGACCCGUCAACCUAGUACAUGUCAACCUAAUGACCAUGUCGACCUAUUGUCCCUGUCGACCUAAUGACUGUCGACCUAAGUUGUGUCUAUCCAACGACCCAUACCCAUUUAUCUAAUAAUAAUGGAGAGAAUGCUAUGUACAGUAGUAGUACCACUAAUACAAGAAAAAAAUAACCUACUAUAUAAAGAUAAACUUCAGUAAUAAUAUUCUUGUAUCACUUCAUAGCACUCUUAUAGUACUAAGAAACUUUUUCACACCAUCCCGGAACUUGGAAGGAUUAAUUAUUUCAGCUGUACUGAUCCAGGAAAUAAUUGGUACUACAACUGAAUUAGGCCACAGUGCCCUGCAGUCCCCAGGAACCACCAAAGACCAUUCCCUGUCAGAUUGCCACAAUUGUGUGCACAUCAGCACAACUGAAAUGCAAUAUUACUGGGUAGGUUGAGCAGCAGCAGCUAAGAGCAGCUAGGAGAGAGCAGCCCAGACUGACAACUGCCCUUGAGCAGUUCUGAUUUCGGGAAUCUCUCCUGCACAGGUCCUGUGUUGCUAAUCCGAUCCAUGCCUACCAGGAGCUUUAAUCAUGCUGCAGUGUUCUAUGGAGGAAGGGUCAGAGUGCUGCUUAUGUUACUGUUCAAUAAAAUUGUAAGUCUGUACGGUUCCUCAGUGACAUCUAUGGGAGUCAUCGGUGCUCUCCAAAGAGUUCCUCCCCACACGGAGCAGCAAUGGUGGGAGCUGCAGUGAAUAACAGAUUUUUACACUGGGUACUGUAACAUGUUGUAUUCUGUAGGGGUUUGUAGCUUGGGUCACACAUGUCAAGGGGAUAGUAGUGGGGGAGCAUAUGUUUCAAGGGAAGAAUAGUAGGAAGUGCUAAACAUUAACUUUAAUUAUAUUAAUAAUUGCGCAUACUGCACAUUGUAGCCAGAAUUUUUAUUUGUCAGCACCAAAGAACUUGGCAUACCUAACAAUAUUCCUAACUGGAAAAUCACACCAACCAAGCCACAUCCUUAUCCAUCCACAUCAUGUACAUUUCAUGUCAGGUAACUGAACCCCAGGACUGUUGCUCACAAAUCGGUAAGUGUUAAUCAGAUCCUAUCAGAUAUAAGGUAAUGCUCUUGCCUAGGUUGCAUUGCUGCCUGUUUUGUCUAUUUGUAAAGUCAGCUAUAUAAAUCCUAUCCAACCAUCAGAUUAUACCAUAGCUAAAGGGGACUGAUCACUACACUCAUUUACAAAAGAUAAGAUAUUGUUGUCAAACAUAACUUUGCAGAAAUUUUGCACCGCAUGUUGGAUUACAAAACAUAGUUGGCUGCUUCCAAACUCCACAUUUAAUCCAUUAGUUAGUUACUGAUGUGUACUGUAACUUAUAUCUAGUCUUGUUUUAACUGUUUAUGAAAAGAACUUGCAACAUCUUUUUUCAGUUUUUUAAGGGGUCUAUACAAAGACCAAAGAUUAGAUGGCAGGUCCACUUACAGAAACAUAAUGGUGUAUUUCUCUUCACCGAUGUUAUGGCAUGAGAAAGGCAUAAUUGUAAUUAGCACUGCAAAUGCACAGAAGAAAGUCUGCAGAGAGGGGAGGAGAGGAGGGUACAACGCAUGGGGGAGGCAUAGACUCCCAUAAUGGCUAUGCCAUAAUUUUUGAAUGAGGUGAGCACUAUAAAUCAUCCAAGAUGGUCCAGGUUCUCCUUUGUGGAAGAUCAAUAAUCUCUGGGGUACACACUGUACAUAAGGAAGUCACAAGGAAAAAUCACCACCAGAUAACAAAUGGAGAGACACAGUAGUACUGUUAGUACUUUGGAAACUUUGAAAUACUAUUUAAGACAAAAGAGUUACAUUUGGUUUAACAAAAAAAAAUUACUAGUUAUAAAGGCAACCUGAAAGAAAUAAAAAUAAGUUACAAAGGUCAUUGUAUAGUAAAUUCUCGUACUCGUAAUAAUAACUUGUUUUUUUUCUCCUGGGUAGCUCCUCAGACAACACCUUCUGUUUGAAAUAAUUCAAAGAGCUAUAAAAGACAUUUCACCAUAUAUGAAAAGUUCAAGAAAAAAAACAACAAGUAACUGAGGUCCUGGUGGCUGCAUGGUCCUCCUCUAUCUACAGCCCACCCCUCCUGGUAGUCACACACGUUGUGUCUGUUGGACAGCAUUCAUCCCCAUCUCAGGUACCAGUGGUUUCCUUUUCCACCACGGCGUAUGUGAUGUCAAGCUAUCAUCGCUGCUGAAGUGAAGAAAAGCCAUGAAGAGGAGGAGACUCUGUGCAUAUUGAAGAUAAGAUGAGAGGGGUCUGGAGGGAAAAGAAAGGUGGGGAAGCUGCUGGAGGGAUAUAGGGCAUGGAGCUUCUGGGGGGACACAGGUGGUGAGCUGCUCGAGUGGCAGAAACAGAUAUGUGUAUAAGGGGCACUACUGUGGGAAUUAUGUUGAUAAGCGGCACUACUGUGGUCAUUAUGUGUAAGGGGCACUACUACUGUGGGCAUUAUGUGUAAGGGGCACUACUGUGUGCAUUGUAUAUAAGGGGCACUACUGUGUGACAUAAUGUGUCUAAAGGGUAUCAUUGUGUAGCACAACAUAAAUAAAGACCACUACUAAAUGAAAUAACCAUAAUAAGGAGCACUACUAUGUGGUGUAAUAUGAAUCAGGGGCACUACAUGCGGUGUAAUGUGAAUAAGAUUGUGCUUCUGUAAUUUGAAUUGGGGGUACUAUUGUGUGAACAUGCUAUUUCUUUGUGAGAUCAAUGUCCCUUUAUAAAGUAUAGGAAGUAGGGCACUAAUUUAUAGUUUGCAGGGUGGUGCCAAAAAA